rnacentral:lncRNA from 1 species
AGGGGGCUUACCCGUGUGCGGCUGCGAGUUCGUCGGCAUCACGGGGAGCAUCCACGGACGUCACGGGAGCCGCCAGCCUCGGCUCGGCCGUGCGCGUAGGCCGCGAGCGUCGGCUGCAAACGCGAUCGAGGGCGCAGCGGGCUCGGCUGGAGGCACUGCCGGUCAUGGCCUGGCCCCUCCCAAGCUCGCCUCCUCCCUCCGUGGAGAAGAAAGGAGAAGAAAGGGGGAGGGUUGAGAAGAAUAUGAGAAGAAGAAGGGAAGAGCUGAGAGAAGAGAAGGUGAAUCGGGAACGGAAGAAGAAAAAAAAAAGGAAAAGAAGAAAGAAGAAGCGGGGAAAGGAGAAGAAAAAGAGAAGAGAGAAGAAGAAAGAAGUCGGAAGAAGUUUCUGGAGAGGAAGAGAAGAAAAGAAAAAGAAAAGGAGAGAAAGGGCGAAAAAUAAAAGAAAAGAAGGAAAAAGAAAAGAAAAGAAGAAGAAAAAAAAAGAAUAAAGAGAGGGGGUGGUUUACGGGUAUGAAUCCGAAUUUAAAAGAAGAAUAUGAUUAUUGAAUAUUAGGUUCUGCGAGGGAUUUGUGGAAUUAAUUGGAUUUGUUGUGGAUCGCGUUCGCAAGGUAAGUGAUGUAACCUCUUUACUAGAUUUAUCGGCAAACUAUGUAUAUGUUUUACGAAUUGAAUUGUUCGUGAUUUCGAAUUUAAUGCAUGGAUUAUAUGUGUAUUUUAGAAUAUUGUAUGAUUCUGAUUGGACGUAUUUGUUUCUGGUUCGAAUUGUGUUUAAUUACUCUGACAUUGUACCCUUUGGUUUGGAACAUUAAACAUAAUGUAAGAAAAGAUUAUGACUUGAAAUAGAUUCAGGCUUGUAGUCGGGCUAUGUUGAGGACCCUGCCAAUGGGGGCUAAUACAUUGGUACCGCAAGAAGAAUAGUCGGUGAUAUGACCCUACCACAGGGAACAUGUGGUCAUAGUUCCUGGCUGUUGAGUUGGAUCUCAUAAAUUGAAAGAAAUUAAAAUAUGAACAACGUUUGGUUUGACACUGUACGUUUUCUUUUAUAUAACUGGAAUAUGAAAUAGAGGACAAAAUGAACUUCGACCUGGCUAUGUUGAGGACCCUGCCAAUGGGGGCAGAUACGUUGGCAAUUGACUGUCCUAAAN